GUGGUUUAAUUCGAUGCAACGCGAAGAACCUUACCUACUCUUGACAUCCAGAGAACUUAGCAGAGAUCUAUUUGGUGCCUUCGGGAACUCUGAGACAGGUGCUGCAUGGCUGUCGUCAGCUCGUGUUGUGAAAUGUUGGGUUAAGUCCCGCAACGAGCGCAACCCUUAUCCUUGUUGCCAGCGGUUCGGGCCGGGAACUCAAAGGAGACUGCCAGUGAUAAACUGGAGGAAGGUGGGGGAUGACGUCAAGUCAUCAUGGCCCUUACGAGUAGGGCUACACACGUGCUACAAUGGCAUAUACAAAGAGAAGCGACCUCGCGAGAGCAAGCGGACCUCAUAAAGUAUGUCGUAGUCCGGAUUGGAGUCUGCAACUCGACUCCAUGAAGUCGGAAUCGCUAGUAAUCGUGGAUCAGAAUGCCACGGUGAAUACGUUCCCGGGCCUUGUACACACCGCCCGUCACACCAUGGGAGUGGGUUGCAAAAGAAGUAGGUAGCUUAACCUUCGGGAGGGCGCUUACCACUUUGUGAUUCAUGACUGGGGUGAAGUCGUAACAAGGUAACCGUAGGGGAACCUGCGGUUGGAUCACCUCCUUACC
rnacentral:rRNA from 1 species